ACCUCUUUUACGGACCCUCUGUUAAUUCUUCUCUGAGAGGUUUUUGUUGAAACUCCCUAGCCCGGCACCAGUCUAGCAGGAGUGUGGCCCAAGGGCACCAGACUAGAGAGGUUCAACCAGUAUUUUUGAAAAGAGCACUGUUCAUUUUGGUGGAAAGGGGGAAGGUGUUUUAUUCCACUGAGAGCUGGAACCACCUUUUGAAGGCUUUCUUUAAUCACCAGAGCUCUUCCUGGGAACACCGACAGCUCAAUAACAGUUCCUGGAUCUGUUGGCUGACAGCACAAACAGAUUGUGUCUCUUGGCAGUGGUCAUCAGCUCUGAAGCGAGCUUUUUGAGCUAGCUGAGAAGUUCAGAGACUGCUUCUCCCUGUGACCUCAGUCUGAACGUCUGGUCCUGGGAAUUCUACCGAAAAAGCAGACCCUUCAGGACUUUAAGCUUUGCUGGAGUUAUUACGGGAAAGUGUUUCCAAGAAGUCACUGUGAUAAAGGACUGGUUAAUGAACUAGAUUUUAUUUGCUAGGGGACAUAAACAAAGCUCCCUCUAAUCUUUUACAUCCAUGUGUGGAAUAAUUUUAUAUACACUGAGGCAUGUGUGAACAUGCACCACCAGUAGAAACAAAAAAAUCUAGCUGUGAUUCUGCUAAACAGCUGGGUGGCAUCAGACUCAUUCCUGAGUGUCCACACAAGCACCCAGCUUUAAGGGACUACGGGGUGUAAGGCUACUGGUGAAAUGCACAACUUUUGAGAUACAAGACAGA